GCAUGCGCGAGUCGACAGCCAUGUCACCCUACGCCUCCGCCCGUAUCUGAGGAACAUUUUUGCCUCCAUCCGCUGCCUGUCCUGCCCUGCCGCGCCCCGCCCCGCCUGCCCCGGGUCGGGUCCGCGGGAGACAGAGGCCUCGGUUUGGGGAUCGGCGGUCUAAGGGUGCCUCCCCGCCACUCCCUGCCCGGACCCCGCGCCCGGGGCCUCCCGCCGCAGGGGCGCUUCCUCAGAUAGCCCUGGUCAGCUGCCCCUGCGGCCGCGGCUGGUCCCAAACUCACCGAAUCGGGAACUCUGGUCUGGGUACAGAAAUCGGGGUGAUUCUGAUGCAGGCGAGAGUUGGAGAACCAAUGUCGUAGUUCAUCAGCCUCCGAAAGCAUCCUUUGCUCUCUUUCCAGAAAGGAAGAGCAUCUCUGCCAUUCGGGUCUCAAGGACAGGCGCCUCAGCUUCGUUCUCUGUGAGCUGAUCUGUGGAUCGCUGCGUGUCGGGACUCAGUAGUCUUUGAGGAUGUGGCUGUGGACUUCACCCAG
rnacentral:sRNA from 1 species